CCAUACAGAGCUUGACUAGGUUUAAUUUAGCCUGCUGAGAAGAUGGGUAAAUUAACCUCCCUGAGCUCCGGGAUGCCACAGCUGGAUUGCUACCUCUCCCUGGCAUGCUUCAUCAAAAGCUGUGCUAGGAACUUCUCAUGGCAAGCACAGGGGAGGGCCCCCAAAGCCUGCCCAUGGCAGAAGGAUCUUGUCCUUGUUACACCCUCUGUCCUCUCUGCACUGAGGAGGAGUCUCAUCCUGGUGGGAUUGGAAACCUGGAGCAAGAGAGCUACAAGCCUGAGACAGGAGAGCAAAUGAUGAGGUGAUGAUGGUGAUCUGGUGAAGCCUUGGAGGAGACUGAAUGACCCAGGUCUGCAACCACACCUGCAGGCAGACGAAGGAUGCACGAUUAACACCCCCUGAUGUGAUAAGCUGUGAAGGGAACUGUGCUGCUGCACUAAUUCAAGGCACUAUUUUCUGUGCCCAAAAAUCUACAGUUCCUGAUAUGUGGUUUAGGGGACAGUCACAGCAGGAGGUUCCCCUGGCACCCUGGGACUGGUGAGCCCACAUUUGUAGGUAAAUACACCUACAGCUA